GGGGCUGUAAUGGUUUCGACGGGGAGAGAGAGGCGUGAGCAGCGGGCCGUGGCGGUGCACCACGAUAAAAGCGCCAAAACAAUUAACUGACAACACUUAUCCUGUUGCCGUAGCCGCCUAAUUAGGCGCUACCGUCCUGCCCGCGUUAGUACUGCGCGGGGUCAGGGCGUCGAUUAGGUACUGAACGUGAACGGGCUUAAGCUUUGCGGCUCGGCAUGAAUUUAUGAAGCUACUGCGGUGUAGUGCGCGUGUGUUCGCCCGCACCAAGGGAAAUUCAAUAAGCACACUGCGCCCGGAGAUACUCUAACCGAUUUCUUUUCGGACACGGGUUCGACUCCC
rnacentral:tmRNA from 1 species